rnacentral:rRNA from 1 species
AACGAACGCUGGCGGCAGGCCUAACACAUGCAAGUCGAGCGGACCCUUCGGGGUUAGCGGCGGACGGGUGAGUAACGCGUGGGAAUAUGCCCUUCUCUACGGAAUAGUCCUGGGAAACUGGGGGUAAUACCGUAUACGCCCUUUGGGGGAAAGAUUUAUCGGGGAAGGAUUAGCCCGCGUUGGAUUAGGUAGUUGGUGGGGUAAUGGCCUACCAAGCCGACGAUCCAUAGCUGGUUUGAGAGGGUGAUCAGCCACACUGGGACUGAGACACGGCCCAGACUCCUACGGGAGGCAGCAGUGGGGAAUCUUAGACAAUGGGGGCAACCCUGAUCUAGCCAUGCCGCGUGAGUGAUGAAGGCCUUAGGGUUGUAAAGCUCUUUCAGCUGGGAAGAUAAUGACGGUACCAGCAGAAGAAGCCCCGGCUAACUCCGUG